rnacentral:misc_RNA from 1 species
UCGUGACCCUGACCAAAACAGACCGCGCACGCGUCAUCCAGCCCGCCGAGCGGCGGCACCGUCCGUCGCUCGGCCAAGUCCUCGACAACCCUCGUUCCUCGGAGCGGGGGCUCGGGGUAAAAGAACCCACGGCGCCGAAGGCGUCAAGGAACACUGUGCCUAGCUCGGGGACGCGGCUGGCUUGCUGGCCGCCCCUCGUGCUGCAAAGCUAUUUAAUCCACACGACUCUCGGCAACGGAUAUCUCGGCUCUCGCAUCGAUGAAGAACGUAGCGAAAUGCGAUACUUGGUGUGAAUUGCA